GAUGAACGCUGCCAGAAUGCUUAACACAUGCAAGUCUACUUGAACUUCGGUUUGGGUGGCGGACGGGUGAGUAACGCGUAAAGAACUUGCCUCACAGUUAGGGACAACAUUUGGAAACGAAUGCUAAUACCUGAUAUUAUGAUUUUAGGGCAUCCUAAAAUUAUGAAAGCUAUAUGCGCUGUGAGAGAGCUUUGCGUCCCAUUAGCUAGUUGGAGAGGUAACGGCUCACCAAGGCGAUGAUGGGUAGCCGGCCUGAGAGGGUGAACGGCCACAAGGGGACUGAGACACGGCCCUUACUCCUACGGGAGGCAGCAGUGGGGAAUAUUGGACAAUGGACCAAAAGUCUGAUCCAGCAAUUCUGUGUGCACGAUGACGUUUUUCGGAAUGUAAAGUGCUUUCAGUUGGGAAGAAAAAAAUGACGGUACCAACAGAAGAAGUGACGGCUAAAUACGUG
rnacentral:rRNA from 1 species